rnacentral:rRNA from 1 species
CGCAUCUGUGCAUGCAGCAUAUCAAUAAGCGGAGGAAAAGAAACUAACAAGGAUUCCCCUAGUAACGGCGAGUGAAGCGGGAAGGAGCUCAAAUUUGAAAUCUUAAAGGGUUUCCCUUUACGAAUUGUAGUUUAAAGAAGUGUUUUCUGUUGAGGUUUUGGUAAAAGUUCUUUGGAAUAGGACAUCAUAGAGGGUGAGAAUCCCGUAUUUGACCUUUACUUUCAACUUUGUGAUACACUUUCAAAGAGUCGGAUUGUUUGGGAAUGCAGUCCAAAAUGGGUGGUAAAUUUCAUCUAAAGCUAAAUAUUGGCGAGAGACCGAUAGCGAACAAGUACCGUGAGGGAAAGAUGAAAAGAACUUUGAAAAGAGAGUUAAACAGUACGUGAAAUUGUCAAAAGGGAAGCGUUUGACACCAGUGUUGUUUUUCUGAAAAUCAAUUAAAGAACUGUUUAUGCUAAGCUGUUUAGACUUUAUCAGCUAUCUGUUUAGUUUUGAGCUUUUCUUUAAUGCACUUUUCAGUUAACAAGUCAACAUCAAUUUCUUUUGCUGUAAAAAAGCUUGAGGAAGGUGGCUUGAGAUUCGUCUUAAGUGUUUAUAGCCUCUUGCCUAUGCAGUCGGAGAGAUUGAGGUCUGCAGCGUAGAUCCUUCGGGGCUAAAUGCAUUUGUGCUAAGUUAUAGCAUUUUAUAGACAACUUGUUGACUAUGAUUUGUCUUGUAGCUUACUCGCUUAUGUUAUUUUACCUACGCUUAGGAUGUUGAGCGCAUGUCUCUCUCU